UUUAGGAGAAAAAUCUCAGUU
rnacentral:miRNA from 1 species